GCAGCGCGGGCUUCGGCCUGGCGGCGAGUGGCGGACGGGUGAGGAAUACAUAGGAAUCUGCCCAGUCGUGGGGGAUAACCCGGGGAAACCCGGACUAAUACCGCAUACGACGGUGACGUGAAAGCCGGGGACCUUCGGGCCUGGCGCGAUUGGAUGAGCCUAUGUCGGAUUAGCUAGUUGGCGGGGUAAAGGCCCACCAAGGCGACGAUCCGUAGCUGGUCUGAGAGGAUGAUCAGCCACACUGGGACUGAGACACGGCCCAGACUCCUACGGGAGGCAGCAGUGGGGAAUAUUGGACAAUGGGCGCAAGCCUGAUCCAGCAAUGCCGCGUGGGUGAAGAAGGCCUUCGGGUUGUAAAGCCCUUUUGUACGGGAAGAAAUCAUCCGGGUUAAUACCCUGGGUGGAUGACGGUACCGUAAGAAUAAGCACCGGCUAACUUCGUGCCA
rnacentral:rRNA from 1 species